AGAAAUGGCCAAUCGGGAGCUGCCGGGGCAUCUGUUCGGACGUGCGAUUGGUCCAGAGCAUUGGUACCUCCCCCCCUCCAGUAGGGCAGUUCCCAUUGCAUGUGGGCAGAGCUGUCAGACUAGGAAAACAAAGCAUCUACUAGACGGUCCUGGCACCUUACCUUCCACGGUGAGGUUGGAGGAGCUGACGUACUCAUUGGAGUCGUUGUCCUGAGAACACACAAUGGCGUACUCCCCAGAGUCAGCCAGGUCGCAGUCAUCGAUGAUGAUCUCGGCCCGCUUGCCCUCGCGCAUGAAGGUGAAGCGCGGGUCGUUGGUGAUGUCACGGCCGUCCUUCAGCCACCGGAUGUGCACGUCCUUGGAGC